rnacentral:misc_RNA from 1 species
GUGGGAGGGGGCUUGCUCCCGAUAGCAGUGAUUCAGUCGGAGCAUCUUUGACUGACACAUCGCAAUCGGGGGCAAGCCCCCUCCCAC